rnacentral:rRNA from 1 species
UAAGGCUCUUCGGAGUACACGAGAGGCGGACGGCUGAGUAACGCGUAGGAACACACCCUGCAGUGAGGGAUAAGACACCGAAAGGUGUUCUAAUACCGCAUACGGUCUUCGGAUUAAAGCAUUUAUGCGCUGAAGGAGUGGCCUGCGUCAUAUUAGAUAGUUGGUGAGGUAAUGGCUCACCAAGUCGAUGAUGUGUAGCUGGUCUGAGAGGAUGAUCAGCCAGACUGGAACUGAGACACGGUCCAGACUCC